CAGCCCCGGUCCCUGCAGCGGGAUGCUUCCCGGGAGUGGGCGUGUGUUUUGUUGGACCUUGACCCGGCUGGGAAAUCUCCUUUUCUCCUUGCAGUUCGUGCCGCUGUGUCCCGAGCGUCACUGGUGUCGCACCGUCAGGGCUCAGCCUUCGAGCCCGUACCGGAGGCUUGUGAGCGGCUCACCUGGAGCCCCGGGCCGGGAGUCAUCGGGUGUGAAGGGCGCUCUCUGGGCGGCGUGCGCUUGGAUUUCGUUAAUACGGCACCUAAGUGGCAGAUAGAGUCAGGGACCGAUGGAAGUUGUUUUGAACGCACCGAGAAUUUGUUCUCCUCCGGCUUCUAGUUUGCGUUUCAAUCCCCAAACUGUCAGUGUUGUAGGGAGACUUAUUAAUGGUGCCCUACUGGCCUCAUUUUGUUUUGCUUAAAGUCGUAUCUUCAGAUAAUUUAGGAUGGGGGGGUUGAGGUCCAGAAGAAAUGAGACGGCUAGGGUUUUUCAGGGACACCAGCAUUACCAGUCCAAGCGCGCUGCCCAGAACCGUGGCAGAUGGAGGAGAGAGCUACUCUGACGCGUCUUGGUCUUCGGCGCCCUCCUCAAGCGCUCCUGUGAAAAAGAAGACUCCUAGAAGAAUUGCAUGAUUUGCCCAAGGUCAUACAAUGAAUUAAAGGCGUAAAAUGAAGAAAACUCAGGUCUCCUGAGAGCAAGGCAUCAAGAAGGGAUGAAGAAAAGAAAGCCUGGAUGAACUGAUUUUUAGAGAGAAAUGAGGCAUUCAUGAAUGAACAGAAAGACUCAGCAGUUUUCUACUGGGGUAGGCACCUGGACUAAAUAUGGGCAGCUGGAGAAUUAGCCUGCCAAAGAUGGAGAUGAGGAGAAACCAACCAAGAUGUAGACAGCCUGUGGGCUUGUGGGAUGCACUGGAAUCUGGAAGAAGACUGCAGUAGAUUGAGUUUUCCAAAAAUGGCCUUAAUAGUAUCUCCCAUCCUACAUUCUUUUUCCAAAAAUGUGACAUUUGCCUCCCUCCCAUCGAAUGGUAUUGUCCAUGAUCCUUGCUUUGAAUCUGGUCAAGUUUGUGGCAAUGGCGGAAAUAAUGAUAUGUGAAUUCUGAGGCCAAGUCAUAAAAGGUGAUACAGCUUCUGCCUGGCCCUCUUGGGAGACAUGACUUUGCAACCCUGACUGCAAUGUAAGGAAUCCACUGCUGCUGUGCUGUGAGGAAGGGUCAUGUGGAGGUGUUCUGGAUCAUCCCAAGCUGAGUUCCCAGCCAGCAGUCAGGAUCAACCAGCAGGUGUGUCAUUGGAGCCACCUCUAGAGGAUUCCUGCUCCCUGCCAUUGUGUCACCUUCAGUCUGAGCCACAUAAUCCCUGAAUGUACUAAAAUAUUUUUGUUUCAAAUAGUAUUGUUUUAUUUCAAUUUAAAUGUCUUCAUUUCAAAUGUUUAAACUGCUAAAUUUGGGGUAACAUGAUGGAACAAUAAAUAACCAGAAUAAGCUCCAGAUUUGAAAAUAAAUUACUCACCUUGACAAUUCUCCCCUCCAUGUAUACCACUCACACCCAAAUAUUGCCAAGAAAGCAGCAGUGGAGGAAAGCCUGGACAUAGAGAUCGAACGCAUAUUCCUCUGCAUCCUCGCAGUGCUUGGAUUGUGGGCCCUAUCAGAGUUGAGUCUAACGAUGAGCCAAAAUUAUCUGAAGGUAACCCAACCUCCUCUCACCUCAGAUUUUUAAAAAAUUAAAGACAGAGUUAAUGCGUUGGUAGUUAGGCUAAUUAUGGGUGAAUUAAAGCUAAAAAACCAAGUGUGACUUGUGUCGAUGAAAAUAAUC
rnacentral:lncRNA from 1 species